rnacentral:rRNA from 1 species
UACAGAGGGUGCAAGCGUUAAUCGGAAUUACUGGGCGUAAAGCGUGCGUAGUCGGUUAUUUAAGUCGGGCGUGAAAGCCCCGGGCUCAACCUGGGAAUUGCGUUCGAUACUGGAUAGCUAGAGUUCGGCAGAGGGAAGCGGAAUUUCGGGUGUAGCGGUGAAAUGCGUAGAUAUCAGGAAGAACACCCGUGGCGAAGGCGGUUCUCUGGGACGGUACUGACGCUGAGACGCGAAAGCAUGGGGAGCGAACAGG